rnacentral:rRNA from 1 species
AACGAACGCUGGCGGCAUGCCUAACACAUGCAAGUCGAACGAGACCUUCGGGUCUAGUGGCGCACGGGUGCGUAACGCGUGGGAACCUGCCCUUAGGUUCGGUAUAACUCCCCGAAAGGGGUGCUAAUACCGGAUAAUGUCUUCGGACCAAAGAUUUAUCGCCUUUGGAUGGGCCCGCGUUGGAUUAGCGAGUUGGUAGGGUAAAAGCCUACCAAGGCGACGAUCCAUAGCUGGUCUGAGAGGAUGAUCAGCCACACUGGGACUGAGACACGGCCCAGACUCCUACGGGAGGCAGCAGUGGGGAAUAUUGGACGAGGGGCGAAGGCCUGAUCCAGCAAUGCCGCGUGAGUGAUGAAGGCCUUAGGGUUGUAAAGCUCUUUUACCCGGGAUGAUAAUGACAGUACCGGGAGAAUAAGCACCGGCUAACUCCGUG